rnacentral:tRNA from 1 species
CCCUGGUUGGCUCAGUUGGUAGAGCACUCCACCUGUAAUGGAGAGGUCCCGGGUUCGAUACCCGGACCAGGCG